UACGUAGGGUGCAAGCGUUAAUCGGAAUUACUGGGCGUAAAGCGUGCGCAGGCGGUUUUGUAAGCCUGUCGUGAAAGCCCCGGGCUCAACCUGGGAAUUGCAUUGGAGACUGCAAGGCUAGAAUCUGGCAGAGGGGGGUAGAAUUCCACGUGUAGCAGUGAAAUGCGUAGAGAUGUGGAGGAACACCGAUGGCGAAGGCAGCCCCCUGGGUCAAGAUUGACGCUCAUGCACGAAAGCGUGGGGAGCAAACAGG
rnacentral:rRNA from 1 species